UUACGGCCAUAUCACGUUGAAACACCGGUUCUCGUACGAUCACCGAAGUUAAGCAACGUCGAGCUUUCUCAGUACGUAGAUCGGUGACCGCUUGGGAAUACCAUGUAAUGUAAG